CGCAUUUCACUGGGCCAGCAUCAGUUUUGGUGGCAGGAUAAAUCCAUAGGAAUGUAGCUUGCCUCGGUAAGUAUUAUAGCCUGUGGGAAUACUGCCAGCUGGGACUGAGGACUGCGACGUAAGUCAAGGAUGCUGGCAUAAUGGUUAUAUGCCGCCCGUCUUGAAACACGG
rnacentral:rRNA from 1 species